rnacentral:rRNA from 1 species
UACGUAGGUGGCAAGCGUUGUCCGGAUUUACUGGGCGUAAAGAGCGCGCAGGCGGUCGUUUAAGUCGAAUGUGAAAGCCCCCGGCUCAACUGGGGAGGGCCAUUCGAUACUGAUCGACUUGAAGGCAGGAGAGGGAAGUGGAAUUCCCGGUGUAGUGGUGAAAUGCGUAGAUAUCGGGAGGAACACCAGUGGCGAAGGCGACUUCCUGGCCUGUUCUUGACGCUGAGGCGCGAAAGCGUGGGGAGCAAACAGG